CUCACCAAAACUUCUGCUGUUACUUGUAAAGCACAAUUAACCCAUUUGUCUUCCCACUUCAACACACAGCUAGCUUAGCUCCAUCCCUCCUUUCUGACAUUUCAGUUUCCAGAUCGAUCAUGGCACCCAAGGAUAUUCAAAUCGGACUAGUCGUGUUCCUUGUCGUCCUCAUGCUACACAACGUCGCUGCUGCGCAAUCACCUCAAUCAUCACCUGUAUCGGGUAAUUGCGACAACGUUCAAGCGGCAUGUCUCCCAGUUACCGUUAAUAUUCCGGUUAAUGUUCCGGUUAAAAUUCUGGCCGAUCCUUAAACAGCUGGGAUUGCAGAUUCCAAAACAGUGCUUUCAACAGAUGUGCCUGAUCAUCUGGUGGUAGCUACACCGUUCAAAUGAUCACCCCCUUCAAGUUGCAGUGUGCUUCUUUCUUUUCAUUGUGUCAUCUCAUGUCAUGUCAUGUAUUAUAAAUAAGCUGGCUCUUCACAAUUAAUGUUACGAGGGCUUUGAUUUACUAGUACUGUUUGCUUUUUCAUGGUCCGGUUUUCGGUAAGUUGAAACGAAUGAUGCUUUUCUCAAUGUUUAGAUUUAGAUUAUUGUUGUUUGUUUCCCUGGCCGGCAUCAUCCAGGAGAUGGCCAGGAUUUCAUGUGUGUGAUUGUACGUACGUACCAUUUGACAUUUUAAGAAAAUAAGGAAUGAAGGGGGCAGGAACUUCUGUUCGUUCAUCUAUGGAUUGGUCUCAA